GUGAAAGGCCAAUCAAACUUCGUGAUAGCUGGUUCUCUCCGAAAUAUAUUUAGGUAUAGCGUUGUGUCGUAAUAUAAGGGGGUAGAGCACUGAAUGGGCUAGGGCAUACACCAAUGUACCAAACCCUAUCAAACUCCGAAUACCUUAUAUGUAAUCACAGCAGUCAGGCGGCGAGUGAUAAAAUCCGUCGUCAAGAGGGAAACAACCCAGACUACCAGCUAAGGUCCCUAAAUCUUACUUAAGUGGAAAACGAUGUGAAGUUACUUAAACAACCAGGAGGUUGGCUUAGAAGCAGCCAUCCUUUAAAGAAAGCGUAAUAGCUCACUGGUCUAGUGAUUUUGCGCGGAAAAUAUAACGGGGCUAAAGUAAGUACCGAAGCUGUAGACUUAGUUUACUAAGUGGUAGGAGAGCGUUCUAUUUGCGUCGAAGGUAUACCGGUAAGGAGUGCUGGAGCGAAUAGAAGUGAGCAUGCAGGCAUGAGUAGCGAUAAUUAAUGUGAGAAUCAUUAACGCCGUAAACCCAAGGUUUCCUACGCGAUGCUCGUCAUCGUAGGGUUAGUCGGGUCCUAAGUCGAGUCCGAAAGGGGUAGACGAUGGCAAAUUGGUUAAUAUUCCAAUACCAACAUUAGUGUGCGAUGGAAGGACGCUUAGGGCUAAGGGGGCUAGCGGAUGGAAGUGCUAGUCUAAGGUCGUAGGAGGUUAUACAGGCAAAUCCGUAUAACAAUACUCCGAGAACUGAAAGGCUUUUUGAAGUCUUCGGAUGGAUAGAAGAACCCCUGAUGCCGUCGAGCCAAGAAAAGUUUCUAAGUUUAGCUAAUGUUGCCCGUACCGUAAACCGACACAGGUGGGUGGGAUGAGUAUUCUAAGGCGCGUGGAAGAACUCUCUUUAAGGAACUCUGCAAAAUAGCACCGUA
rnacentral:rRNA from 1 species